CCUACGGGUGGCAGCAGUGGGGGAUAUUGCACAAUGGGCGAAACCCUGAUGCAGCGAAGCCGCGUGUGGGAUGACGGUCCUCUGGAUUGUAAACCACUGUCCCCAGGGACGAAGAUGACGGUACCUGGGGAGGAAGCUCCGGCUAACUACGUGCCAGCAGCCGCGGUAAUACGUAGGGAGCGAGCGUUGUCCGGAAUUACUGGGUGUAAAGGGAGCGUAGGCGGUGAUGCAAGUUGGGGGUAAAAUCUACCGGCUCAACUGGUAGUUGCAAUCGAAACUGCAGCUCUUGAGUGAAGGAGAGGCAGGCGGAAUGCGUAGUGUAGCGGUGAAAUGCGUAGAUAUUAGGAGGAACACCAGUGGCGAAGGCAGCCUGCUGGGCUUCUACUGACGCUGAGGCUCGAAAGUGUGGGUAGCAAACAGGAUUAGAUACCCGAGUAGUC
rnacentral:rRNA from 1 species